UAAUACGGAGGAUGCAAGCGUUAUCCGGAUUCAUUGGGUUUAAAGGGUGCGCAGGCGGAAUGAUAAGUCAGUGGUGAAAUCCUACGGCUCAACUGUAGAACUGCCAUUGAUACUGUCGUUCUUGAGUACACUUGGAGUGGGCGGAAUGUGUCAUGUAGCGGUGAAAUGCUUAGAUAUGACACAGAACACCGAUCGCGAAGGCAGCUCACUAAAUUGUAACUGACGCUCAGGCACGAAAGCGUGGGGAUCAAACAGG
rnacentral:rRNA from 1 species